rnacentral:rRNA from 1 species
CCUACGGGAGGCUGCAGUGGGGGAUAUUGCACAAUGGGGGAAACCCUGAUGCAGCGACGCCGCGUGGGCGAAGAAGUAUUUCGGUAUGUAAAGCCCUAUCAGCAGGGAAGUAGAAAUGACGGUACCUGCGUAAGAAGCACCGGCUAAAUACGUGCCAGCAGCCGCGGUAGUACGUAUGGUGCAAGCGUUAUCCGGGGUUACUGGGUUUAAAGGGAGCGCAGGCGGCACGGCAAGCCUGAUGGGAAAGUUCGCGGCCCAACCGAGGGACUGCAUUGGGAACUAGCGGGCUGGAGUGCCGGAGAGGUAGGCGGAAUUCGUGGUGUAGCGGUGAAAUGCGUAGAUAUUAGGAGGAACACCAGUGGCGAAGGCGGCCUACUGGACGGUGACUGACGCUGAGGCUCGAAAGCGUGGGGAGCAAACAGGAUUAGAUACCCGAGUAGUC